AAUUCUCAGCCUUUUGGCUAAGAUCAAAAAGUAAGUGUCUGUUCUUAUCAGUUUAAUAUCUGAUACAUCCUCUAUCUGAGGACAAUGUAGUAAGUGGACUUUCAAAGCAGGGAGAAGGCAUAGGAGCUUGCUCUGUCCACUCCGCACAUGGACCCGGUGUAGCAGUACCUCCAGGAACAGUGCACUAAAA